GAUGAACGCUAGCGGCAGGCCUAACACAUGCAAGUCGAGGGAGAAGCCCUUCGGGGCAGAAACCGGCGCACGGGUGCGUAACGCGUAUGCAACCUACCUUUCACAGGGGGAUAGCCCGAAGAAAUUUGGAUUAAUACCCCAUAAUAUUAUUGGAUGGCAUCAUUUGAUAAUUAAAAUUACGAUGGUGAAAGAUGGGCAUGCGUCCUAUUAGCUAGUUGGAGUGGUAACGGCACCCCAAGGCUACGAUAGGUAGGGGUCCUGAGAGGGAGAUCCCCCACGCUGGUACUGAGACAGGGACCAGACUCCUACGGGAGGCAGCAGUGAGGAAUAUUGGUCAAUGGUCGGAAGACUGAACCAGCCAUGCCGCGUGCAGGAAGAAUGCCUUAUGGGUUGUAAACUGCUUUUAUAUGGGAAGAAUAAGGAGUACGUGUACUUUGAUGACGGUACCAUAUGAAUAAGCUUCG
rnacentral:rRNA from 1 species